GAUGAACGCUAGCUACAGGCUUAACACAUGCAAGUCGAGGGGUCUGCUUCGACAGACGACCGGCGCACGGGUGAGUAACGCGUAUCCAACCUGCCCUUCAUAUUGGGAUAGCCUCUCGAAAGGGAGAUUAAUACCGAAUAACAUGGUAAAGUUGCCUGAUUUUACCAUGAAAGCUCCGGCGAUGAAGGAUGGGGAUGCGUUCCAUUAGGUAGUAGGCGGGGUAACGGCUCACCUAGCCGACGAUGGAUAGGGGUUCUGAGAGGAAGGUCCCCCACACUGGAACUGAGACACGGUCCAG
rnacentral:rRNA from 1 species